CUGGAGGACCGAACCGACUAAUGUUGAAAAAUUAGCGGAUGACUUGUGGCUGGGGGUGAAAGGCCAAUCAAACCGGGAGAUAGCUGGUUCUCCCCGAAAUCUAUUUAGGUAGAGCCUUGAGCGGACACCUUCGGGGGUAGAGCACUGUUUCGGCUAGGGGUCCAUCCCGGAUUACCAACCCGAUGCAAACUACGAAUACCGAAGAGUGAUACUCAGGAGACACACGGCGGGUGCUAACGUCCGUCGUGGAGAGGGAAACAACCCAGACCGCCAGCUAAGGUCCCAAAGUCUAUAUUAAGUGGGAAACGAAGUGGGAAGGCUUAGACAGCUAGGAUGUUGGCUUAGAAGCAGCCAUCAUUUAAAGAAAGCGUAAUAGCUCACUAGUCGAGUCGGCCUGCGCGGAAGAUGUAACGGGGCUCAAAUAUAGCACCGAAGCUGCGGCAUCAGUAGCAAUACUGUUGGGUAGGGGAGCGUUCUGUAAGCGGAUGAAGGUGGCUCGAGAGGGCUGCUGGACGUAUCAGAAGUGCGAAUGCUGACAUAAGUAACGAUAAAACGGGUGAAAAACCCGUUCGCCGGAAGACCAAGGGUUCCUGUCCAACGUUAAUCGGGGCAGGGUGAGUCGGCCCCUAAGGCGAGGCUGAAAAGCGUAGUCGAUGGGAAACGGGUUAAUAUUCCCGUACUUGGAUAAACUGCGAUGUGGGGACGGAGCAGGUUAGGUUAUCGCACUGUUGGAUAUGUGCGUUUAAGUUGGUAGGUGAGAAGUUUAGGCAAAUCCGGACUUCUAUAACACCGAGAGAUGAUGACGAGGCUCUACGGAGCUGAAGUAACCGAUACCACACUUCCAGGAAAAGCCACUAAGCUUCAGGUUUAUCUAAACCGUACUGAAAACCGACACAGGUGGUCAGGUAGAGAAUACUCAGGCGCUUGAGAGAACUCGGGUGAAGGAACUAGGCAAAAUAGCACCGUAACUUCGGGAGAAGGUGCGCCGGCGUAGAUUGUAGUCCCUUGCGGAUGAAGGUUGAACCGGUCGAAGAUACCAGCUGGCUGCAACUGUUUAUUAAAAACACAGCACUCUGCAAACACGAAAGUGGACGUAUAGGGUGUGAUGCCUGCCCGGUGCUGGAAGGUUAAUUGAUGGUGUAAUCGAAAGAGAAGCUCCUGAUCGAAGCCCCAGUAAACGGCGGCCGUAACUAUAACGGUCCUAAGGUAGCGAAAUUCCUUGUCGGGUAAGUUCCGACCUGCACGAAUGGCAUAAUGAUGGCCAGGCUGUCUCCACCCGAGACUCAGUGAAAUUGAAAUCGCCGUGAAGAUGCGGUGUACCCGCGGCUAGACGGAAAGACCCCGUGAACCUUUACUAUAGCUUGACACUGAACAUUGAAUUUUGAUGUGUAGGAUAGGUGGGAGACUU
rnacentral:rRNA from 1 species